rnacentral:rRNA from 1 species
AAAUUGAAGAGUUUGAUCAUGGCUCAGAUUGAACGCUGGCGGCAGGCCUAACACAUGCAAGUCGAACGGUAACAGGAAGCAGCUUGCUGUUUCGCUGACGAGUGGCGGACGGGUGAGUAAUGUCUGGGAAACUGCCUGAUGGAGGGGGAUAACUACUGGAAACGGUGGCUAAUACCGCAUAACGUCGCAAGACCAAAGAGGGGGACCUUCGGGCCUCUUGCCAUCAGAUGUGCCCAGAUGGGAUUAGCUUGUUGGUGAGGUAACGGCUCACCAAGG